UCCACGCCCUAAACGAUGCGUGCUCGGUGUGGAGGGACGUUCAAUCGACCUUCCGUGCCUUAGCUAACGCGGUAAGCACGCCGCCUGGGGAGUACGGCCGCAAGGUUAAAACUCAAAGGAAUAGACGGGGACCCACACAAGCGGUGGAGCAUGGGGUUUAAUUCGAUACUAAGCGGGGCACCUCACCCAGGCUUGACAUCUCGGGAAUCGACUGGAAACAGUUGAGUGCCGCAAGGAACCCGAAGACAGGCGCUGCACGGUCGUCGUCAGCUCGUGCCUUGAGGUGUGUUGUUAAGUCAAUGAACGAGCGCAACCCUCAUCC
rnacentral:rRNA from 1 species